rnacentral:rRNA from 1 species
GAUGAACGCUAGCUACAGGCUUAACACAUGCAAGUCGAGGGGCAGCACGGAGAUAGCUUGCUAUCUUGGGUGGCGACCGGCGCACGGGUGAGUAACGCGUAUCCAACCUGCCCAUUACUCUGGGAUAGCCUUGCGAAAGUAAGAUUAAUACCGGAUGUUGUUAAAAACCCGCAUGAGUUUUUAACCAAAGAUUUAUUGGUAAUGGAUGGGGAUGCGUGACAUUAGGUAGUUGGUGAGGUAACGGCUCACCAAGCCUACGAUGUCUAGGGGUUCUGAGAGGAAGGUCCCCCACACUGGAACUGAGACACGGUCCAGACUCCUACGGGAGGCAGCAGUGAGGAAUAUUGGUCAAUGGACGAGAGUCUGAACCAGCCAAGUAGCGUGCAGGAUGACGGGCCCUCUGGGUUGUAAACUGCUUUUAGUUGGGAAUAAAAAGAGGGACGUGUCCCUAAUUGUAUGUACCAUCAGAAAAAGACCGGGACUAAUUCCGUG